AGUGAACGCUGGCGGUAGGCCUAACACAUGCAAGUCGAACGGCAGCACAGUAAGAGCUUGCUCUUACGGGUGGCGAGUGGCGGACGGGUGAGGAAUACAUCGGAAUCUACUUUUUCGUGGGGGAUAACGUAGGGAAACUUACGCUAAUACCGCAUACGACCUACGGGUGGAAGCAGGGGAUCUUCGGACCUUGCACGAUUGAAUGAGCCGAUGUCGGAUUAGCUAGUUGGCGGGGUAAAGGCCCACCAAGGCGACGAUCCGUAGCUGGUCUGAGAGGAUGAUCAGCCACACUGGAACUGAGACACGGUCCAGACUCCUACGGGAGGCAGCAGUGGGGAAUAUUGGACAAUGGGCGCAAGCCUGAUCCAGCCAUACCGCGUGGGUGAAGAAGGCCUUCGGGUUGUAAAGCCCUUUUGUUGGGAAAGAAAAGCAGCAGGUUAAUACCCCGCUGUUCUGACGGUACCCAAAGAAUAAGCACCGGCUAACUUCGUG
rnacentral:rRNA from 1 species